rnacentral:rRNA from 1 species
UACGUAGGUGGCAAGCGUUGUCCGGAUUUACUGGGCGUAAAGAGCGCGCAGGCGGUCGUUCAAGUCGCGUGUGAAAGCCCCCGGCUCAACUGGGGAGGGUCACGCGAUACUGAUCGACUCGAAGGCAGGAGAGGGUAGUGGAAUUCCCGGUGUAGUGGUGAAAUGCGUAGAUAUCGGGAGGAACACCAGUGGCGAAGGCGACUACCUGGCCUGUUCUUGACGCUGAGGCGCGAAAGCGUGGGUAGCGAACAGG